UACGGAGGGUGCAAGCGUUAUCCGGAUUUACUGGGUUUAAAGGGUGCGUAGGUGGGUUGGUAAGUCAGUGGUGAAAUCCCCGAGCUUAACUUGGGAACUGCCAUUGAUACUAUCAGUCUUGAAUACCGUGGAGGUCAGCGGAAUAUGUCAUGUAGCGGUGAAAUGCUUAGAUAUGACAUAGAACACCAAUUGCGAAGGCAGCUGGCUACACGAUUAUUGACACUGAGGCACGAAAGCGUGGGGAUCAAACAGG
rnacentral:rRNA from 1 species